rnacentral:rRNA from 1 species
UACGUAGGGUGCGAGCGUUAAUCGGAAUUACUGGGCGUAAAGUGUGCGCAGGCGGCCGCGCAAGUCGAGUGUGAAAGCCCCGGGCUUAACUUGGGAAUUGCGCUCGAAACUACGUGGCUGGAGUGUGGCAGAGGAAGGUGGAAUUCCAGGUGUAGCGGUGAAAUGCGUAGAGAUCUGGAGGAACACCGAUGGCGAAGGCAGCCUUCUGGGCCAACACUGACGCGUCAUCGCACGAAAGCGUGGGGAGCAAACAGG